GAUUUCAACUGAAAAAGUCAUCAAUAACAAAGUUGUAUAACUCAUCAAGAUCUAUAACUUUUAUUUUAGUCAUUUCUUCGUCCGACAAAGUGAUAGUAACAUUAUUCACAAAAUUUACAUAUCUCUCAUUUGGUUUUAUAAACUAUAAGAGAAAAUGUAAAUUUUGUGAACAAUGUUACUAUCACUUUGUUGGAUAAAGAAAUGACCAAAAUAAAAGUUGUAUGUCUUGAUGAGUUCUAUAACUUUUAUCUACAUGACUUUUUCAGCUGAAUUU
rnacentral:pre_miRNA from 1 species